rnacentral:rRNA from 1 species
AUGCCAAAGUGCAGUGUUACUCCUAUAUCUUGUGAGAGUGGAUGUAAGCUGCAUAACACAUCAUUCUUUAUCUGGCGGACAAGUGCAGUCUGCCUUCUUCUCUAUUGCUAUGAUCAGUUUCAAUGGAAGCCGGCUGGGUUAUGCUAUCACCUGUCUAAUUGCUGUCCAGUGACACUACUUCGGCUGCCGGUGCGAGCAAACUGUUUGACUCGGAGGUAUGCAGGUCACAAGAACCAGGUCUACCACAUGAAGUUGUCUCAUUCUAAUCAUUGUCAAGAGGGAAUAAACUUGCAAGUGGAGCAGAUAUGGUGUGCAAUUACGAGUAAUACUAUUGAUGCUUAUCCUUGUGGUGGUGAAGACCAUGCACGUGAAUCAUUGUUCAACCUGGAGCUUGCUGUACAUGUGACGGAGUUCGAUGUGCGUGGCAUAGAAGUUUCCCUACGCAACAAGAUCAUAUUUGUGUUUGAAUUUCACUUGCAUGUUGUUGCCAGGUGGAGCUCUUACGGUGUAAACUUUGGUGAAAUGGAAAACCAAGUGUAUGUGCAAACACAUUCCAUUGGAUCGUUGGCCGGGGCACCUCUACAGAAGCAGCAAAUGGAGCUGCAAUAUUAUGGAAAUUGGGCCAUUAACUCUCUUCAUCUGCACCGAUUGGUGGCAAGGAAGGGGAGAGCAACAGGUUCAUGGUUUGAUAAAUUCUUGGAGGCUUUCAUUAUGUGCAUAAACUGUGAGGACCACUGCUGGGGCUUCCUAAGCUCACUUCUAUCUGAUUGGCCGAAGUUUGGGAAUAGCAUCACAGAACUGAAGGAAUAUCGGGACCAGGGUGGCUUUAGACUGCAAUUUUCUUUCAAUGUUAUGCCCAUCUUACAAGGGCACUGGUGCUUUGGAAAUGUUAAUAGCCUGUUGAUUCCUCCUGGUUCGAAUGGGAAGUAUUAUCUCUAUGCUCAUUGCUGGGUGCUCCAAGUUUGCCAAGAUAGUUCACAUGGACUGAUCAAAAAGUCCAGUGCAUGGUAUUCGUUUAUCACAAGGUUCAGCGUCCGGGUGCCGGGCGUGCCAAUGAUAGCAUGGUCAGUAUGCAUGGCGUUAAUUCGGACUAACUUUGAGAGAUGGUGGACUACUUGUUUGCAGUGUUUGGAACAACACCAAUGGUUAUCAAUGUUGCCGGCGUGUACAUCUCGGAUCUGGUUGGUAGCAUGGCCCAUGGACGGGGUGGAGCUCUGGAUUCACUGUGGGCACACAAUUUUUCAAGGAGGGAGGACCUUCAUGGUCGUCGCCACCUUUGUCGACCACAACUACUACCUCGACGUCAUCCUCAACUUGGUUGCUAUCGGCCAUGAUGACUACUUCGGCAACCUGGGCAAGCAAGCUUGCUACUUUGAUCGAGUCUACACCCAUCUUGGCUACUAUCAUGAAGAUUACCAUGGCGAUCCUAGCAAGAUCAAGGAACUUCAAGCGCCGUGGGAUCCUGGCAAGUCAGCCUUCCAGUCUUCUUCUGAGCUUCGGCUUGGGGUCAAGCCGAGUUUCAAGGAGGGAGGGGUGUUAGCAACCCUCCACGGGUGGGCCGUGGGCCGGCAUGAGAGGGUCGGGCCUAGCAUCCAGGCCAUGGAGCCAGCGACUACAAAUACUUGA